AUAUUUUUGUUAUCUGGCCGUGGUACUAAAGUCCAUGUUUUAUUUAAAAAUAGAGAAUUUAAUUGCACCUUCCCAAUGAACUCUAUCGUCUCGUGUUUUAAUCUCUUGAAACGAAUUUGGUAUUUUACACAAAAUUGAACUAGCACACAUAAGGUUAUCAUCGAUUUCUUUAUAAGAAAUAGGGGGACGACUUUAAGCCUAUCACUCCUACGUGGUUCAAUACAACUGGUUGUGUCCUCAUUAUUUACGACCACUGAAAGAUCAUCAGAAUGUGCAUUUGGUUGUUCAAAUUCGACGAUGUCAUGGUUAGUUUUGCGAAUUUUCUGAGGAACUUCAUAAUCAUCAGAUUUACAGGUAUCUGAUUUAUAUCUGUCAGUUUUUUGAGACUUUAUUGACUUUGAAAUGUUGUCAAUGUUAACAUUAUCAUGAGAAUUUACUAUAUUCUCUUCAGGUCGCAACGCAGGCCUGGAUUGAAGUAAUUUGUCUCAUCUACUAUGACAUCUCUGACAGUAAUAAAUUUUUCGCAUUUAGGAUUCCAAACUUUAUAACCGUUUGGUUCGUAUCCCACAAGAAUACCUUUCCAUGACUUAACAUCGAAUUUUGUCUUAUAUAACUUAUCAUGCACAUAAACUGUUGAACCAAAAAAAUUUAAAUAUUUUAUUUGUGGUUUUUUGUUAUGCCACAUUUACGAAUUCAAUCAUCAUGUCUACUGAGAAAUCACUGGAUGGUUGUUAAUAGUGCUUACUCAAAUAUACCUUAUUCAUUAACACCAUUUCUCUGACUGACCAGAGAUAUGAUGAAGUACACAUUAAGAAUAGGAAUACUAUAGAGAGAUAUACCGGCAGAAGUUUUAGUUCCAACACUUGAUACAGUUUCAAGUCAAGAAGUUAAUG